CGACGAUCAAGGCAAACCCAUGUUACUCUGUUACUCAAGCUGAAGAGUUGCAAUAUACUACUGGUAUCUGUUCACGUGAUCGUCCAGCUACAUAAAGAUUACAGCGAGUCGUCUGCAGUGUAGGCUUCAAAGUCUGAUUCUUCCAAGAGUGCUACAUCUUCUUCCUUCUGUUCUGUGCCAUCCGCCGGUCUCAGCUCACUGAUUGUGAUUGGUCAUUACUGAGAUUUGAAGAUUUUAUGGAAAACGUUUCUUUGCCGGAAUACACACGGCGAGACUGUCGGCUAAAUCUUGCAGCCAG